UUUAGACAUGAGCCAUAAUGUAUAUAUCAAAAUACUGAUAAAGUCCGUUUCCAGCUUGAUUGUAUUUGCAUUUGUUGUAUUUGCAUUGUUGCAGAAAAAGUUGUGCAAUAUAUGGUGGGCUUAUGUCACAUACUCGUAUGUAAUUCCAUGUGCCUGCAUGUACAGUACUUUGAUGCCUCAAGAGAUGCUUCGAAUGUGUAAUAAAGGGCUGUUCGCAGGAGUUGGGCUGUCUGGCCUUAAAUUGCAUUGUUUUUAUGAUAUUUUAAGAUUGUGUUCAUUUGGCUGGACCAUCUUGCCAUUGCCACAAUGUCUGAUGUUCAAACAGGCUUUAAAAUCAGGUUACAAUGCAUGCUUGAAAAUAUGCAACAAUUUCACUGCUAAUAAUAUUCCAGAAAAUCCUGCCUCUUGGGCAGAUCUGGACUGAUUUGUCAGA